CCUACGGGUGGCAGCAGUGGGGAAUAUUGCACAAUGGGGGAAACCCGGAUGCAGCAACGCCGCGUGGGCGAUGAAGGCCUUCGGGUCGUAAGGCCUGGUCCUAGGGGAAGAAUCCUGCCGGUACCUAGGGGGGAAGCCCCGGCUAACUACUUGCCAGCAGCCGCGGUAAUACGUAGGGGGCUAGCGUUAUCCGGAAUUACUGGGCGUAAAGGGUGCGUAGGCGGCCCUUCAAGUCAGAGGUGAAAGGCUACGGCUCAACCGUAGUAAGCCUUUGAAACUGUAGGGCUUGAGUGCAGGAGAGGAGAGUGGAAUUCCCAGUGUAGCGGUGAAAUGCGUAGAUAUUGGGAGGAACACCAGUUGCGAAGGCGGCUCUCUGGACUGUAACUGACGCUGAGGCACGAAAGCGUGGGGAGCGAACAGGAUUAGAUACCCUUGUAGUC
rnacentral:rRNA from 1 species